UAUGGCCAUACCACCCCGAAUGCGCCCGAUCUUGUCUGAUAUCGGAAGCUAAGCAGGGUUGGGCCUGGUUAGUACUUGGAUGGGAGAAAUGCACAAAAUAAUCCAACAGGUAAAUGCCUUAA
ensembl:rRNA 5S_rRNA 5S ribosomal RNA